GCUGGUGGGUGCCCACAGUCCCAGCUACUCAGGAGGCUGAGGCGGGAGGAUCCCUUGAGCUCAGGAGUUCUGGGUCGUACUAUAUGUCAUGCCUAUCGGGAGUCCACACUAAGAUCAGCAUCAAUACAGUGACCUCCCGGGAGCAAGGGACCAUCGGGUAGCCUAAGAGAGGGGUGAACCAGCCCAGGUCAGAAACGGAGCAGGUCAGAACUACCAGGCUGAUGAAUAGUGGGGUCGUGCCCGUGAGUAGCCACUGCACACCAGCCUGGGCAACAUAGCCAGAUCCCAUCUUU
rnacentral:SRP_RNA from 1 species